GUGGGGUUCCCGAGCGGCCAAAGGGAGCAGACUGUAAAUCUGCCGUCAUCGACUUCGAAGGUUCGAAUCCAUCAACCGACA
rnacentral:tRNA from 1 species